rnacentral:rRNA from 1 species
AUUGAACGCUGGCGGCAGGCCUAACACAUGCAAGUCGAACGAGUGGCGGACGGGUGAGUAAUGUCUGGGAAACUGCCUGAUGGAGGGGGAUAACUACUGGAAACGGUAGCUAAUACCGCAUACCAUCAGAUGUGCCCAGUUGGGUUUAGCUAGUUGGUGGGGUAACGGCUCACACAGGCGACGAUCCCUAGCUGGUCUGAUAGGAUGACCAGCCACACUGGAACUGAGACACGGUCCAGACUACUACGGGAGGCAGCAGUGGGGAAUAUUGCACAAGGUGCGGAAGGCUGAUGCAGCCAUGCCGCGUGUAUGAAGAAGGCCUUCGGGUUUGAAAGGACUGUCAGCGGGGAGGCGUUACCCGAAGAAGAAGCACCGGCUAACUCCGUGCCAGCAGCCGCGGUAAUAC